rnacentral:antisense_RNA from 1 species
CUCUAUGGCGGAUCGCGCGGGGGACCCUCGGGUCUGCCGGUUCCAUCUCCCGGCUCGUCAACCCUGCGCGGUCCGCCACCCUU